GAUGAAGAACGCAGCGAAAUGCGAUAAGUAGUGUGAAUUGCAGAAUUCAGUGAAUCAUCGAAUCUUUGAACGCACAUUGCGCCCCUUGGUAUUCCAUGGGGCAUGCCUGUUCGAGCGUCAUUUGUACCUUCAAGCUCUGCUUGGUGUUGGGUGAUUGUCUAUCUUUAUAGACUCGCCUUAAAGUCAUUGGCAGCCGGCAUAUUGGCCUGGGAGCGCAGCACAGGUCGCGCUUCUUGUCAUGAAUGUUGGCGUCCAGUAAGUCUACAUAUUUUGCUCUUGACCUCGGAUCAGGUAGGGAUACCCGCUGAACUUAAGCAUAUCAAUAAGCGGAGGA
rnacentral:misc_RNA from 1 species